CAUGCCGUAAACGAUGAUUACUAGGUGUGGGGGGACUGACCCCUUCCGUGCCGCAGUUAACACAAUAAGUAAUCCACCUGGGGAGUACGGCCGCAAGGUUGAAACUCAAAGGAAUUGACGGGGGCCCGCACAAGCAGUGGAGUAUGUGGUUUAAUUCGAAGCAACGCGAAGAACCUUACCAGGUCUUGACAUCCCAGGAAUCCUGUAGAGAUACGGGAGUGCCCUUCGGGGAACCUGGAGACAGGUGG
rnacentral:rRNA from 1 species